UACAGAGGUCCCGAGCGUUGUUCGGAUUUAUUGGGCGUAAAGGGUGCGUAGGCGGCGGAGUAAGUUGGGUGUGAAAUCCCGGGGCUCAACCUCGGAAUUGCAUUCAAUACUGCUUCGCUCGAGUACUGGAGAGGAGACUGGAAUUCCUGGUGUAGCGGUGAAAUGCGCAGAUAUCAGGAGGAACACCGGUGGCGAAGGCGACCACCUGGACUGAUACUGACACUGAGGUGCGAAAGCGUGGGGAGCAAACAGG
rnacentral:rRNA from 1 species